CGUGGGCCUCGUAGAUGCGCAGGCUGGCUGGCACCGGCGGUCUGGGCACGUUCAGCCUGCGGCGGGGGGUGAACAGAGUGCGGUGCUAUUGAGACGAAACAAGAAAGCAUGUUUUGGCCAUGACUCCAAAAACUCUAGUGUGUACAAUGUACUUGCAUUCAAAAGUCCCAUGCAUG
rfam:Macrostomum lignano unitig_35368, whole genome shotgun sequence.